AUGCUCUGGUCUGGCACUGGGCCUACGAGAAGCACGAGCGGCGAGAGCCGGGACGCCCUGAACUUUCCCCUAGGCCGGGCCUUUACGCAGAAGCGUCAUUGCCCUGGUGACGUGACGUCCUUCCUCAGGAUUGUGCGCCGGGGUGGGGAAACAGAUGUACAACCGCCAUUUUGCGCAUCAAUUCACCAGAGGUCGGGUCAGGUUGUCUUAACGCAGGCAGAGGGGUGUGGCAGGGCUCCAACCGCUCGGGGUCCCGCGACUUCCAUUAAUGAAUUCGCACACUGGCCGUCACCACUCAACACGCCGACGAUCUUAUGCAUUGCACAAAGUGAGAAUACUUGGUUGCAAGUGACCGAAAUUCAACUCCUCCAAAAAGGAUUUAUUGGUUCAUGUAAUUGCGAAGUGCAAGAGUGCAUCUUAAGGCAAGACUGCAUCUGGAGACUCAAAUACUGCUGUCAAGACUGUCUCUCCAACUCUUUGUUUGCAUUGCUUUAUUCUUCUAGAGUCUCUCCUAGUGGCUGACAAAUGGCUGCCAAACUCAAAUCUCCCAGUUAAGCAAUCGCAAUGGAGGAAAUAAACCAAAUAACUCUCUACCGAUGUCCAUAUCUCAAUUUCAGGUUCUGUGUGCAUGCUCCUAUGAUUAGCAGCCCCAGCACUAAUGCAUAGAGGAGAUAUUUCCCAAAGGAUUCUGAAGAAAGCGGGGUGGGAACAUUAGGCAGAAAAGAACAAUUCCCAUAGUCUAUUGUACCAAUGUUUCCCCACUUCAUAGUGAAGCAACUUUUUAAAACAUUCUGGAUACAUUACAAAUCAAUGUUUCUGUCCAUUUAAAAUCAUUUAAUGCACUACAUGUUUGUCUCUUUUUGGCUGUGCAACAUUUGAAUCCCUGUCCUUUCUGGAAUUUGCCACUGUGAGAGCCUUAGUGGGAAGGCAGGCCACAUCCCCCAUCACAGAUGUUAAAUAAUACAUAUGCUUUUAUUUAUUUUUUUGCUGUGAAUGUAUUAUUAUUGUUAUAUUUCUUAUUAUACUUUAGUUCUGGUGCAGGUUUCUUAUAUAGGUAUCCAUGUGCCAUGGUGGUUUGUUGCACCCAUCAACCCAUCAUCUACAUUAGAUAUUUC
rnacentral:lncRNA from 1 species